AAAGAUAGCAUAAUGGACUAAUAUUAUAGUAUUUAUUAUGAGUUUUUUUUUUAUUUUUUUCCAAGUAUAUAUGACCAUUUUUUUUGUUUAAUAAUAUCAACUCUAUUAAUUAUGUAAAUGUAGGAAGUGUUUAUUGUUCAAGUGGAAAGUAUACUGAAAAAUAAAUGACUUGCAUAUGUUGGUAAUCGUUAGAGGGGCUUUAAGACACAAC
rnacentral:lncRNA from 1 species